AUUGAACGCUGGCGGCAGGCCUAACACAUGCAAGUCGAGCGAGCGGCGGACGGGUGAGUAAUGUAUGGGGACUGCCCGAUAGAGGGGGAUAACUACUGGAAACGGUAGCUAAUACCGCAUACUAUCGGAUAACCCAUAUGGGAUUAGCUAGUAGGUGAGGUAAUGGCUCACCUAGGCGACGAGCCCUAGCUGGUCUGAGAGGAUGAUCAGCCACACUGGGACUGAGAAAGGGCCGAAACUCCUACGGAGGCAGCAGUGGGGAAUAUUGCACAAUGGGCGCAAGCCUGAUGCAGCCAUGCCGCGUGUAUGAAGAAGGCGCUAGGGUUGUAAAGGACUUUCAGUCGGGAGGCGUUACCGAAAGAAGAAGCACCGAGUAACUCCGUGCCAGCCGCCGCGGUAAUAC
rnacentral:rRNA from 1 species